CAAUAGCGUAUAUUAAAGCUGUUGCGGUUAAAAAGCUCGUAGUUGGAUUUCUGUCAAGGACAACUGGUCCGCCCUCCGGGUGAGCACAUAGUUUGGUCUUGACAUCUUGCUGGAAGCUGUUGCUGCACUUGGCUGUGUGGCGCAGUGUUCAGCACUUUCACUUUGAGGAAAUUGGAGUGUUUCAAGCAGGCACAUGCCUUUGGACACAGUAGCAUGGAAUAAUUAGAUUGGGCUUUUGCUCCAAUUUGUCGGUUUCUGGAGCUGAGGUGAGUAUUAAUGGGGAUAGUUGGGGGCAUCCGAAUUUAGCCGUCAGAGGUGAAAUUCUUGGAUCUGCUAAAGACGGACAACUGCGAAAGCGUUUGCCCAGGAUGUUUUCAUUG
rnacentral:rRNA from 1 species